UCCCUCGUGGUGUAAUUGGCAACACUGUCGGUUUUGGUCCGAUUAUUCCAGGUUCGAGUCCUGGCGAGGGAGCCA
rnacentral:tRNA from 1 species